rnacentral:rRNA from 1 species
CUACCGGGGUAUCUAAUCCUGUUCGCUCCCCACGCUUUCGCUCCUCAGCGUCAGUUACGGCCCAGAGAUCUGCCUUCGCCAUCGGUGUUCCUCCUGAUAUCUGCGCAUUCCACCGCUACACCAGGAAUUCCAAUCUCCCCUACCGCACUCUAGUCUGCCCGUACCCACUGCAGGCUGGAGGUUGAGCCUCCAGUUUUCACAGCAGACGUGACAAACCGCCUACGAGCUCUUUACGCCCAAUAAUUCCGGAUAACGCUUGCACCCUACGUAUUACCGCGGCUGCUGGCAC